GACGAACGCUGGCGGCGUGCUUAACACAUGCAAGUCGAACGGAAAGGCCAUGCUUUUGUGGGGUGCUCGAGUGGCGAACGCGUGAGUAACACGUGAGUAACCUGCCCUUGACUUUGGGAUAACUUCAGGAAACUGGGGCGAAUACCGCAUAGGAGCUCCUGCUGCAUGGUGGGGGAUGGAGAGAUUCGGCGGUUGGGGCUGGUCUGGCGGCUUAUGAGCUUGUUGGGGGAGUAGUGGAUUACAAAGCCUUUGAAGGGUAGCCGGCCUGAGAGGGUGACCGGCGUCAUUGGGCCUGCGAGACGCCCCAGUCUCCUACGUGAGGCAGAAGGGGGGAAUAUUGCACAAUGGGCGGAAGCCUGAUGCAGCAACGCCGCGUGCGGGAUGACGUCUUUCGGGUUGUAAACCGCUUUCGACUGUGACGAAGCGUGAGUGACGGUAAUGGGUAAAGAAGCACCGGCUAACUACGUG
rnacentral:rRNA from 1 species